AUUUAUUCAGUAUAUUGUGUACAUUUGACUUCCAAUCAAAAAGAUUGAUAUUAUCAAAAUAAAUA
rnacentral:tRNA from 1 species